rnacentral:rRNA from 1 species
GACGAACGCUGGCGGCGUGCCUAAUACAUGCAAGUAGAACGCACAGUUUAUACCGUAGCUUGCUACACCAUAGACUGUGAGUUGCGAACGGGUGAGUAACGCGUAGGUAACCUGCCUGGUAGCGGGGGAUAACUAUUGGAAACGAUAGCUAAUACCGCAUAAUAUUAAUUAUUGCAUGAUAAUUAAUUGAAAGGUGCAAUUGCACCACUACCAGAUGGACCUGCGUUGUAUUAGCUAGUAGGUGAGGUAACGGCUCACCUAGGCGACGAUACAUAGCCGACCUGAGAGGGUGAUCGGCCACACUGGGACUGAGACACGGCCCAGACUCCUACGGGAGGCAGCAGUAGGGAAUCUUCGGCAAUGGACGAAAGUCUGACCGAGCAACGCCGCGGGAGGGAAGAAGGGUGUCGGAUCGUAAAGCUCUGUUGUAAGAGAAGAACGGGUGUGAGAGUGGAAAGUUCACACUGUGACGGUAUCUUACCAGAAAGGGACGGCUAACUACGUG